rnacentral:rRNA from 1 species
UACGGAGGAUGCGAGCGUUAUCCGGAUUUAUUGGGUUUAAAGGGUGCGUAGGCGGGCUUUUAAGUCAGCGGUAAAAAUUCGGGGCUCAACCCCGUCCGGCCGUUGAAACUGGGGGCCUUGAGUGGGCGAGAAGAAGGCGGAACGCGUGGUGUAGCGGUGAAAUGCGUAGAUAUCACGCAGAACCCCGAUUGCGAAGGCAGCCUUCCGGCGCCCUACUGACGCUGAGGCACGAAAGUGCGGGGAUCGAACAGG